GACGAACGCUGGCGGCGUGCUUAACACAUGCAAGUCGAACGGAAAGGCCCCGUUGGGGGUACUCGCGUGGCGGACGGGUGGGUAACACGUGCGUAACCUGCCCUUGACUUCGGGAUAACUUCAGGCAACUGGGGCUAAUACCGGAUAGGAAUCCUUGCUGGCUGGUGGGGGGUGGAAAGCUUCGGCGGUUUUGGAUGGACUCGCGGCUUAUCAGCUUGUUGGUGGGGUAGUGGCUUACCAAGGCUUUGACGGGUAGCCGGCCUGAUAGGGCGACCGGCCACAUUGGGACUGAGAUACGGCCCAGACUCCUACGGGAGGCAGCAGUGGGGAAUAUUGCACAAUGGGCGGAAGCCUGAUGCAGCAACGCCGCGUGCGGGAUGACGGCCUUCGGGUUGUAAACCGCUUUCAGCAGGGGCGAAGCUUUUGUGACGGUACCUGCAGAAGAAGCACCGGCUAACUACGUG
rnacentral:rRNA from 1 species